rnacentral:rRNA from 1 species
CAUGCCUACGGGGGGCAGCAGUAGGGAAUCUUCCACAAUGGACGAAAGUCUGAUGGAGCAACGCCGCGUGAGUGAAGAAGGGUUUCGGCUCGUAAAGCUCUGUUGGUAGUGAAGAAAGAUAGAGGUAGUAACUGGCCUUUAUUUGACGGUAAUUACUUAGAAAGUCACGGCUAACUACGUGCCAGCAGCCGCGGUAAUACGUAGGUGGCAAGCGUUGUCCGGAUUUACUGGGUGUAAAGGGCGUGCAGCCGGAGAGACAAGUCAGAUGUGAAAUCCACGGGCUCAACCCGUGAACUGCAUUUGAA